AAAGAAAUCAACCGAGAUUCCGAAAGUAGCGGCGAGCGAAAUCGGAUCAGCCCAGCACUCGAUAGCAGCCAACUUACGGGAACGGUCUGGAAAGUCCGGCCAUAGAGGGUGAUAGCCCCUUACUGGAAAAGGCAGCUGCGGUACUAAGUGUGCGAUAAGUAGAGCGGGACACGUGACAUCCUGCUCGAAGAUGGGGGGACCAUCCUCCAAGGCUAAAUACUCGUGAUCGACCGAUAGCGUACCAGUACUGUGAAGGAAAGGUUAAAAGAACCCCGGGAGGGGAGUGAAAUAGAUCCUGAAACCGCAUACAUACAAACAGUAGGAGCCUCGUUAAGGGGUGACUGCGUACCUUUUGCAUAAUGGGUCAGCGACUUACGUUUAAUGGCGAGCUUAACCGUAUAGGGGAGGCGCAGCGAAAGCGAGUUCGAACAGAGCGUUCAGUCGUUAGGCGUAGACCCGAAACCAGAUGAUCUAUCCAUGGCCAGGUUGAAGGUGUGGUAACACACACUGGAGGACCGAACCGACUAGUGUUGCAAAAUUAGCGGAUGAGCUGUGGAUAGGGGUGAAAGGCUAAACAAAUCUGGAGAUAGCUGGUUCUCCCCGAAAACUAUUGAGGUAGUGCCUCGUGUAUGACUCCAGGGGGUAGAGCACUGUUAUGGCUAGGGGGACAUGGCGUCUUACCAAACCAUGGCAAACUCCGAAUACUUGGAAGUUUGAGCACGGGAGACAGAGCACCGGGUGCUAACGUCCGGACUCAAGAGGGAAACAACCCAGACCGCCGGCUAAGGUCCCUAAUAUUGACUAAGUGGAAAACGAAGUGGAAAGGCUAAGACAGUCAGGAAGUUGGCUUAGAAGCAGCCAUCCUUCAAAGAAAGCGUAAUAGCUCACUGAUCGAGUCUUUCUGCGCGGAAGAUGUAACGGGGCUAAGUCAAUAACCGAAGCCGCGGAUUCACACUUAUGUGUGAGUGGUAGGGGAGCGUUCUGUAAGCCUGCGAAGGUGACUCGUAAGGGUUGCUGGAGGUAUCAGAAGUGCGAAUGCUGACAUGAGUAACGUUAAAGCGGGUGAAAAGCCCGCUCGCCGUAAGCCCAAGGUUUCCUGCUCUACGUUCAUCGGAGCAGGGUGAGUCGGCCCCUAAGGUGAGGCUGAGAAGCGUAACUGAUGGGAACAAGGUUAAUAUUCCUUGACCACCGCUGAAUGCGAAGGGGGGACGGAGUAUUGAAGAUCAUCCGGGUGUUGGAUAUCCCGGUUUGCGAGCGUAGGAGGCUGACAGGCAAAUCCGUCAGCGAAUCUCCGAGGCAAAGCAUCGAGCUCUCUUUUGAGCGAAGUGAUUGGAUGUGCUUCCAGGAAAAGCCUCUAAGCUCCAGUUCAGCGGGACCGUACCGCAAACCGACACUGGUGGGCGAGCUGAAUAUGCUCAGGCGCUUGAGAGAACUCAGGAGAAGGAACUCGGCAAAUUGACACCGUAACUUCGGGAUAAGGUGUGCCUUUGUAGCGUGGAGGGAGAAACACCCCGAGCGCGAAGAGGUCUCAGAUAAUCGGUGGCUGCGACUGUUUAUUAAAAACACAGCACUCUGCAAAGACGAAAGUCGACGUAUAGGGUGUGAUGCCUGCCCGGUGCUGGAAGAUUAAUUGAUGGGGUGCAAGCUCCUGAUCGAAGUCCCAGUAAACGGCGGCCGUAACUAUAACGGUCCUAAGGUAGCGAAAUUCCUUGUCGGGCAAGUUCCGACCUGCACGAAUGGCAUAACGAUGGCCACACUGUCUCCUCCUGAGACUCAGUGAAGUUGAAGUGUUUGUGAUGAUGCAAUCUCCCCGCGGCUAGACGGAAAGACCCCAUGAACCUUUACUGUAGCUUUGCAUUGGACUUUGAACCGAUCUGUGUAGGAUAGGCGGGAGCCUGUGAAACCACAACGCCAGUUGUGGCGGAGGCGUCCUUGAAAUACCGCCCUGAUUUGUUUGAGGUUCUAACCUGGGACAGUCAUCCUGUCCGGGGACCGUGCAUGGUAGGCAGUUUGACUGGGGCGGUCUCCUCCUAAAGGGUAACGGAGGAGUGCGAAGGUACGCUAGGUACGGUCGGAAAUCGUGCUGAUAGUGCAAUGGCAAAAGCGUGCUUGACUGCGAGACCCACAAGUCGAGCAGAUACGAAAGUAGGUCAUAGUGAUCCGGUGGCUCUGUAUGGAAGGGCCAUCGCUCAACGGAUAAAAGGUACUCUGGGGAUAACAGGCUGAUACCGCCCAAGAGUUCAUAUCGACGGCGGUGUUUGGCACCUCGAUGUCGGCUCAUCACAUCCUGGGGCUGAAG
rnacentral:rRNA from 1 species